CAGGUGGCAUCCGAAAAACCUUAUGAGUAGGAA
rnacentral:ncRNA from 1 species